AGUGAACGCUGGCGAUAGGCCUAACACAUGCAAGUCGAACGGCAGCACAGUAAGAGCUUGCUCUUACGGGUGGCGAGUGGCGGACGGGUGAGGAAUACAUCGGAAUCUACUUUUUCGUGGGGGAUAACGUAGGGAAACUUACGCUAAUACCGCAUACGACCUACGGGUGAAAGCAGGGGAUCUUCGGACCUUGCGCGAUUGAAUGAGCCGAUGUCGGAUUAGCUAGUUGGCGGGGUAAAGGCCCACCAAGGCGACGAUCCGAAGCUGGUCUGAGAGGAUGAUCAGCCACACUGGAACUGAGACACGGUCCAGACUCCUACGGGAGGCAGCAGUGGGGAAUAUUGGACAAUGGGCGCAAGCCUGAUCCAGCCAUACCGCGUGGGUGAAGAAGGCCUUCGGGUUGUAAAGCCCUUUUGUUGGGAAAGAAAAGCAGCAGGUUAAUACCCCGCUGUUCUGACGGUACCCAAAGAAUAAGCACCGGCUAACUUCGUG
rnacentral:rRNA from 1 species